CAGAAAAUAGUUUUUAAAAAAAUAUUAAUUUUGGGAAUUAAAGAAAAAGAAUUUGUCUUUUUUUCUGA
rnacentral:tRNA from 1 species